UUCAUUUCUCCCUCGAAGACCGACGGCCCACCUCCCAUUGCUUCUUACGGUUCUUCUUCUCCCGCAAUUGCAGCGACACGCGGCGGAGAUUGGAGGCCACAUCACCGGCCGAGAUCGGAUCCACCGCAUCAACUCGCGAGCAACAACUCGUCGGCCUCAUCCCGCUUGAACGGAUCCGUGCUCCUCGUCCCUCUUAAACGGAUCCGCGCUCCUCAUCCCGUCAGCCCCCUUCCCCGCUGUUCCGUCGUCGUUGCUCUCCCCGCCGCUGAAAACCAAAGGGGGCACAGACCACAGACCUGCAAUUCCCGCCGGUCGUGGGGUGCCGACAUGUAUGCAGCUACCGCGGGCUGCGGGCUGCCGGCGUGUACAGAUACUGCUCCAACAGGCGGCGGCCAUCGUACCUGCUCCACCUUUCAACCCCUUUUCUAUGGCAAAUUGCAAAUUACCCACGCGUUGCUCUGUCAGUAUGAGAUGUGCUUGCACUUGUGUAUUGUUUGCUAGAUCUGAACUAUUCUAUUUCAAAACCAAUUGUGAUUUGCUAGAUCUGCAGUAUAAUAUUCCAUAUAGCUGAUUCUUUUUCUUCUUUCCACCAAAAAUAAGUCGAAGAAGAAAGUAUAUUUUACAAGUAAUUUUGGCCUGAAAUCAAACAGAAGCCAACGUUUUUGCAAAAAUUUGGCAUUCACUAUUGGGCUACAAUCCAAACAGUCGUAGCUUACCAAUAUGCAUGUCCUUGAUUUGGUCAUGACUAUUUUCGCAGGGCUACAUGGUGCUUAAUUCAAACACACACACUGUACAAUGAUCUUUUAUUUAAUUAAAUUCUAGAUGCUCUAUACACCGACGGAUGUUUGCUUGAUUUCCAAGUAAUUUAUUUAUUUCGAUCUGUUCCAGAAUUCAGGCAAACAUCCACUGUAUUUUCCAUUUUUGCAAUUUCAGAAAUUAUUCAGUUCAUAUCACCAUGCAUCUAUUUUCUAGUAGCAAUCCAUAGUUCCAUCUGCGUGUACAUGCCUACAGGGCCCCCGUGUAUUGCUUAUUUGGGUUGCACUUCAUCGUUGAGUGCAUGUUGGCUGUAGGUUUUACCUGGUUGUGAGGUUCUUUCUUGUUUUCUAAACUAUGCCAACUAGUGUAAUAAACUUUAUGGUUUUCUGAACUAUGCCAUUGCCUAUACUAAUAUUAAGUUUCUUGCCUUGUUUUCUUAGGCUUGCUGAUUGCUUCUCGCCGACCGUGCCCUAGCUGCAUCCUGCAUGCUGCUUGGACCACUUUUUUAGAUCCCAAUGCAUUGAAAUCUUCAAUUUUUGUUAAUAUUGUCUUGCGUGCACUGCCUAUUAACAGUAUUUCGAGUUUACAUCACUGCUUUACACAAUAUAUAUUGUUUAUUUUUUGAAUACCAAUGCAAAGCCAAUCUAUGUUUGCAUUAGUUAUAUAUACAAUAUUAGUGCAUCAUGUAUUUACAUUCUGAGCUAUCUACACUACUAUAUUCAUUUGUGUUUCAGGAAAGUACGCAUGCACAGGGAAAAUGGCUACAUAUUUUCAGCUUCAAGUACUACAACCACGCCACUAGUUUCGGUGAGUGAGAUGGAAAGGAGGGCAUUUCAUGCAGAAGAUAAACACAGCAGUCAGGCAU